GUCCAAUCUAGGAUGCCUCGGAGAAACUGGGGAUCCUCUCUCCACGCCCUAUCAGAAUCCACAGGUGUGCCCACUGCUAUUGAUGUCAAACUGGUUCACCCUAUUAUCUAAGCCAGUUUACGACCAGCAGUGCUGACUUUGACAACUUCACUUUCCUUGAGAUAUAAAAUGCAGAUAAUAAUAGACUCUGCCUGUGUGAAUUACUAUGAACACUGAGUAAACUGAGCCACAUGUAAGUAUUCUCUCAUUGAAUUCUUAAGACAAAUCUAAUAUGUGUAUAAUAAUAAGUAUUAUUUUUCCCACUUCACAGAAGGAAACACCAGCAAUUCUUAAGUGAUCACAACUCUUAUGUGGUCCCAAACUCUUCUGUGCUGAAGCCAUGAUAGAAGACCAGGAAUCAGAGCCUGCACCCUACUCAACAGGACACACUACUGCACUCGGUCUGGCUAUGUGUCUGGUUCAAGGACACAGGACAUGCUGGGUUCGACCUUGCACUAGGAGAACAUCAGUAAAAGACAGUUGUACAGAACUGUGAGAGGAGGAAAUUAAAACACCUACCAUGGACAUUUAGUGACCGCCAUCUAUGUAGGUCUGCUGCAUUCAAAGAUACAGAUGAGAUUAAGUCUUCCCAAGAAGAUCAGAGAACGGGGCUCUCAAACAGCAGUGCCCGCGGGGAAGUCCGGAGGAGGAGAGCACAGCGGCUGGCAGGAGCAGGGUGGGCAGCAGGCAGUGAAAGGCAGCCAUGCGGGGCUGCACUGUGGUGAGGGGCAAGGCGGCCUGCAGGGCGGGGACCUCAGGGCGCAAAGCUGGAGCCCAGAGUGUGACCAGCUGUGGAAGCUGGUGAGCCGGGUCUGCCAGCAGGAGGCAGACCAUGCCCUGCAAAGGAUUUUGAUUUUUAAAGUGUUCACUGUUACGCAUCAUGCGUUCACUUUCUGGGGGGACCUUUGGGCAGGCGGAUUCCUCAGCUUUCUUUCACACAGUUCCUGAAAUGCCACGUCAGCAGGACCUGCGCACAGCACUGGACACAAGAACGUGCGACCCACGGGAGGCCGGUCAGGCUGCUAUUCCGCUGUUUGCUGAUUUUGCUGGAAGUUGCUGAAAGCACGUGUGUAUUUCCAGGGCUUGGCCCUAAGUCCACCCCGGCUGAGAUCGCCGUCACAGUCCCCCGUCUUCUCCACCUGCAGACAGUUUUAAUCUUCAUGCUCAGCUCGCCACGCUCUCCUGCUACGUUCACCUCCAACAAGGCUCAUGGCCCCGCGGACUGGACACAGCUCACUGUGGACAGGGUCGUUGUCUCAGUCUAGUAGAGAUCUCAGGUCUGAGUUCAGUCAUCCACCUCAGACAAAGGCGGAACCAUACAUGUCACUUUGAAAGUUUAUAGCCACAGGAUCUGAGGAGAGCUCUGUAGUGAACAUCGUUUCAUUAUUUUCUUUGGUUGCUGUUGGAGUUUAAGGGGUUUCAUGCUUACACAGGAAGAGGAAGCUACCAACAGGAAUCAUAAACAGAAAGAAAGGGGAAGAUGACCAGAGAGGUACAGCGCCAGGGGAGACGUGCAGAGGAAGCGGGGUGUGAUAGCGCAGUGUCUCGGCCAGGUGAGAACACGGUUCCCCAGAAUCGAGGUAAGAGACUGGGUGGGCGAUGCAGACACAUUGAGAAAAACUCACUCCUUAGAGGCUUUUCCUCUGUCACUGCUGGCGGGCAGCUGGUGUGAGCAGAUUCCUAAUCGUGCAUCACAUAACAUGAGUUAAGUUUGAGGGUAUAGGCAACUACUUUGAAGGCAAUAAAAUUCACUAUGAUGCCCAUUCUGGUUUGACUAUCAUCUUCUUUUGAAGUCCUGUAAUGUCUGCAAUGUUUAGGUUUUAUUGGUUUUGUUCUGUCCUGUUUUGUUUAUUAUACCUGAUGAUAUAGGCAGUUCUUUUUAAGAUAGCAAGCUAGAGGCAUUCUGGUAACCAUUGUUGAUAACCUUGUAUUCUGUUUUUACAUCAUGUAUUAUGUCCAUCCUUUGUUUUGACUGACUCUGCUUUGUUUUGUCACAUUUGGUUUUAUUCUCUUCUAAAACAAAAAUAAUAAGAACUGUGGGAGUAAUAAAACCCAAAAUGUGUAAUUGUUACUGUAAAAAAGAGAGGAAAAGAAAGUGCUCUAAAGGAUACAACUGCUAGUGUUUUUAGGUGUGUAAGAUAGAUGACAAUGAUCCAAAGUUUUUGUUGGAUCAUUGAACAGAACUGUUUGUAGUCUCACUGUUUGAAUGUCCACUUUGCAUGCUUUAAUUUUGUAACUUGAACAACUAUUUAUAAGAUGACAAUAUGUAAUCUAUUAACUAGUGAUUUCUUACUAUUUUUUUGAAAUUCUGUAUUACUUGUACCCUUUUACGGUUUUGUUUUAUUUCUUUAAAUAAAAUAUUAAAAAAAUAAGUGAA